rnacentral:rRNA from 1 species
AUUGAACGCUGGCGGCAGGCUUAACACAUGAAAGUCGAACGCGUGGCGGCCGGGUGAGUAAUGCUUGGGAAUCUGGCUUAUGGAGGGGGAUAACGACGGGAAACUGUCGCUAAUACCGCGUACCAUAGGCUGAGCCAAAGUGGUGUUCGGUAGUUGGUGGGGUAAUGGCCCACCAGGCCGACGAUCUCUAGCUGGUCUGAGAGGAUGACCAGCCACACCGGGACUGAGACACGGCCCUGACUCCUACGGGAGGCAGCAGUGGGGAAUAUUGCGCAAUGGGGGCAACCUGACGCAGCCAUGCCGCGUGAAUGAAGAAGGCCUUCGGGUGGUAAAGUCCUUUCGGUGGCAAAGCGUUAAUCAAAGAAGAAGCACCGGCUAACUCCGUGCCAGCAGCCGCGGUAAUUC